rnacentral:misc_RNA from 1 species
GAUGAAGAACUUAGCGAAAUGCGAUAAGUAAUGUGAAUUGCAGAAUUCAGUGAAUCAUCGAAUCUUUGAACGCACAUUGCGCCCCCUGGUAUUCCGGGGGGCAUGCCUGUUCGAGCGUCAUUUCAACCCUCAAGCUCUGCUUGGUAUUGAGUCCAUGUCAGCAAUGGCAGGCUCCAAAAUCAGUGGCGGCGCCGCUGGGUCCUGAACGUAGUAAUAUCUCUCGUUACAGGUGCUCGGCGUGCUUCUGCCAAAACCCCAAUUUUUCUAUGGUUGACCUCGGAUCAGGUAGGGAUACCCGCUGAACUUAAGCAUAUCAAUAAGCGGAGGA